GCUGCGCCGAGCCCUGGUGCCGGAGGGGCGCCUGAUCUUCGACAGCGGCGACCCGGCGUUCGAGCCGUGGGCGCUGUG
rnacentral:tRNA from 1 species